rnacentral:rRNA from 1 species
UGGGUAGGCGGACUAAUAAGUCAGUGGUGAAAUCUCUCGGCUCAACCGGGAAACUGCCAUUGAUACUGUUAGUCUUGAGUUCGGUUGAGGUAGGCGGAAUGUGUAAUGUAGCGGUGAAAUGCUUAGAUAUUACACAGAACACCAAUUGCGUAGGCAGCUUACUAGACCGACACUGACGCUGAGGCACGAAAGCGUGGGUAGCGAACAGGAUUAGAUACCCUGGUAGUCC